CUUCCGGAGCUAACGCGUUAAAUCGACCGCCUGGGGAGUACGGCCGCAAGGUUAAAACUCAAAUGAAUUGACGGGGGCCCGCACAAGCGGUGGAGCAUGUGGUUUAAUUYGAUGCAACGMGAAGAACCUUACCUGGUCUUGACAUCCACAGAACUUUCCAGAGAUGGAUUGGUGCCUUCGGGAACUGUGAGACAGGUGCUGCAUGGCUGUCGUCAGCUSKUGUUGUGAAAUGUUGGGUUAAGUCCCGCAACGAGCGCAACCCUUAUCCUUUGUUGCCAGCGGUYAGGCCGGGAACUCAAAGGAGACUGCCAGUGAUAAACUGGAGGAAGGUGGGGAUGACGUCAAGUCAUCAUGGCCCUUACGACCAGGGCUACACACGUGCUACAAUGGCAUAUACAAAGAGAAGCGACCUCGCGAGAGCAAGCGGACCUCAUAAAGUAUGUCGUAGUCCGGAUUGGAGUCUGCAACUCGACUCCAUGAAGUCGGAAUCGCUAGUAAUCGUAGAUC
rnacentral:rRNA from 1 species